rnacentral:rRNA from 1 species
GACGAACGCUGGCGGCGUGCUUAACACAUGCAAGUCGAACGGAAAGGCCCUGCUUUUGUGGGGUGCUCGAGUGGCGAACGGGUGAGUAACACGUGAGUAACCUGCCCUUGACUUUGGGAUAACUUCAGGAAACUGGGGCUAAUACCGGAUAGGAGCUCCUGCUGCAUGGGGGGGGUUGGAAAGUUUCGGCGGUUGGGGAUGGACUCGCGGCUUAUCAGCUUGUUGGUGGGGUAGUGGCUUACCAAGGCUUUGACGGGUAGCCGGCCUGAGAGGGUGACCGGCCACCUUGGUACUGAGAUACGGCCCAGACUCCUACGGGAGGCAGCAGUGGGGAAUAUUGCCCAAUGGGCCGAAGCCUGAUGCAGCAACGCCGCGUGCGGGAUGACGGCCUUCGGGUUGUAAACCGCUUUCGCCUGUGACGAAGCGUGAGUGACGGUAAUGGGUAAAGAAGCACCGGCUAACUACGUG